UACGGGGGGGGCAAGCGUUGUUCGGAAUUACUGGGCGUAAAGGGCGCGUAGGUGGCCUUCUAAGUUGAACGUGAAAUCCCUGGGCUCAACCCAGGAACUGCGUCCAAGACUGGGAGGCUUGAAUCCGGGAGAGGGAUGCGGAAUUCCAGGUGUAGCGGUGAAAUGCGUAGAUAUCUGGAGGAAUACCGGUGGCGAAGGCGGCAUCCUGGACCGACAUUGACGCUGAGGAGCGAAAGCUAGGGGAGCAAACGGG
rnacentral:rRNA from 1 species